rnacentral:rRNA from 1 species
GAUGAACGCUGGCGGCGUGCCUAAUACAUGCAAGUCGAGCGGACAGAUAAUGAGCUUGCUCCUUUGAAGUUAGCGGCUGACGGGUGAGUAACACGUGGGUAACCUACUUAUAUUUCGGGGAGAAUUUCGGGAAACAGGAUCUAAUAAUAGAUAACAUUUAGAACCGCAGGGUUCUAAGGUGAAACAGAGUUUUGGUGUCUGUAAGAGAUGGAGCCGCGCUGUAUUGUCUAGUUGGUAAGGUAACGGCUUCCCAAGGCGACGAUCCGUAGCCGAACUGAGAGGGUGAUCGGCCACACUGGAACUGAGACACGGUCCAGACUCCUACGGGAGGCAGCAGUAGGGAAUAUUCGGCAAUGGGCGCAAGCCUGACGCAGCCACGCCGCGUGAGUGAUGAAGGCUUUCGGCUCGUAAAACCCUGUUAUUAGGGAAGAACAACUGUGUAAGUAAACGUGGCCAUCUUGACGGUACCUAAUCAAAAAGCACCGGCUAACUACGUG